UACAGAGGUCUCAAGCGUUGUUCGGAUUCAUUGGGCGUAAAGGGUGCGUAGGCGGCGCCGUAAGUCAGGUGUGAAAUUUCGGAGCUUAACUCCGAAACUGCAUUUGAUACUGCGGUGCUUGAGGACUGGAGAGGAGACUGGAAUUUUACGGUGUAGCAGUGAAAUGCGUAGAGAUCGUAAGGAAGACCAGUGGCGAAGGCGGGUCGUCUGGACAGUUCCUGACGUGAGGCACGAAGGCCAGGGGAGCAAACGGG
rnacentral:rRNA from 1 species